CUUAUAACUCAUGGAGAAAACAAAUCCAUAAUCUUAAGUGUUAGGAUAUACAAAAGUCAUCUUCUUUUUGAAAGUUUAUAGAGACUCAUGUUUAGUACCAUUUUAGGAUUUGCAUUUCAGAAUUUUUGUUUUAUAUGUUUUCAAAGUGUCUCAAAAUAAUAACAAUAGAUAACAUUUGGUACACAUUUAGUGUAUCCUAAGCACCAUGAUUAUCAUUUACAUGCAUCAUCUCAAUCUUUAUGACAACUUUGUUAGCUAGGCAUAGUUAUUCUCAUUUUUCAUCUGAGGAAACUGAGGCUCAGAGGAAUGAAAUGACUUGCUCCGUAUCACCAGAUAGUAAGUGGGAAAGCUAGGAAUUUUAUCCAUAGAGUCUGAAUCUAUAGUUAUCAUUCUUAAUUACUUUAUUCCUAUAUUGCCUUCCUUAACUUUAGACUUUUGUUAGCACAAAAUAUUUAGCCUGCACUUAAUCCAAUCUGAGCAAUUUGCAUGGCUUUGCUCUGCCAUAGGGAAGCUCAUGUACUUUUAAAGUUUCCCAAGAUAGAGUCAUCUGUGUUUCUCAGCUCAGCCUAUAUAACAUCUUGAGUAUUCCUGUCUAUAUCCCCUGACAUGUCCCCCU
rnacentral:lncRNA from 1 species